rnacentral:rRNA from 1 species
ACGAAACGCUGGCGGCAUGCUUAACACAUGCAAGUGGAGCGACGAACCUUUUUGGGGCAAAGCCGCGAACGGGUGAGUAACACGUGGGCAACCUGCCCAGUUGACUGGAAUAACUCGAGGAAACUCGAGCUAAUACCGGAUGUGCCAUUUCCUACACAAGUAGGCCUGGUAAAGGGAGCUUCGGCUAUCCGCAAUUGGAGGAGCCUGCGGCGCAUUAGCUAGUUGGUGGGGUAAAGGCCUACCAAGGCGACGAUGCGUAGCUGGUCUGAGAGGACGAUCAGCCACACUGGAACUGAGACACGGUCCAGACUCCUACGGGAGGCAGCAGUGGGGAAAUCUUGCACAAUGGGCGACAGCCUGAUGCAGCAAUGCCGCGUGAGGGGAAGACGGCCUUCGGGUUUGUAAACCUCUUUCAGUUGGGAAGAAGGUUGGACGGUGAAUAGCCGCGCCAACUGACGGUACCUUCAGAAGAAGCUCCGGCUAACUACGUGCCAGCAGCCGCGGUAAUACGUAGGGGGCGAGCGUUGUCCGGAAUCAUUGGGCGUAAAAGCGCGUGUAGGCGGUUUCGUAAGUCUGCUGUGAAAGUCGGAGGCUCAACCUUCGAAUGCCAGUGGAUACUGCGAGACUUGAGUCCGGAAGAGGAGAGUGGGAAUUCCUGGUGUAGCGGUGAAAUGCGCAGAUAUCAGGAGGAACACCAACGGCGAAGGCAGCUCUCUGGGACGGUACUGACGCUGAGACGCGAAAGCGUGGGGAGCAAACAGGAUUAGAUACCCUGGUAGUCCACGCCGUAAACGAUGGUCACUAGAUGUGGGGGGUGUCGACUCCCUCCGUGUCGUAGCUAACGCGUUAAGUGACCCGCCUGGGGAGUACGGCCGCAAGGCUAAAACUCAAAGGAAUUGACGGGGACCCGCACAAGCAGCGGAGCAUGUGGAUUAAUUCGACGCAACGCGAAGAAACCUUACCUGGGGCUUGACAUACUGCUGACCGCCGUGGAAACACGGCUUUCCUUCGGGACAGCAAUACAGGUGGUGCAUGGCUGUCGUCAGCUCGUGUCGUGAGAUGUUGGGUUGAGUCCCGCAACGAGCGCAACCCCCCGUCCUAUGUUGCCAGCAUUCAGUUGGGGACUCAUAGGAGACUGCCGGUGACAAACCGGAGGAAGGUGGGGAUGACGUCAAGUCAUCAUGCCCCUUAUGUCCAGGGCUUCACACGUGCUACAAUUGGCGCAUACAGAGGGCUGCGAUACCGCAAGGUGGAGCGAAUCCCAAAAAGUGCGUCUCGGUUCGGAUUGGGGGCUGAAACUCGCCCCCAUGAAGGCGGAGUUGCUAGUAAUCCCGGAUCAGCAAUGCCGGGGUGAAUACGUUCCCGGGUCUUGUACACACCGCCCGUCACACCACGAAAGCAAGUAACACUCGAAGCCGGUGAGCUAACCCUCUGGGAGGCAGCCGUCGAAGGUGGGGACUCGUGAUUGGGGUG